AAGCUAGAAGAUGAGGAGUUGAUCUCCUACAUCCUCACUUGACUUGGCGAGGAGUAUGACUCGGUGGUGUCGGCGGUGGCGUCACGCGUUGAACCAAUCUCACUUGGUGAGCUUUAUACUCAGUUGACCAGUUUUGAGU
rfam:Sorghum bicolor cultivar BTx623 chromosome 5, whole genome shotgun sequence.